CCCUUAGAUGUUCUGGGCCGCACGCGCGCUACACUGACGAUGGCAACGAGUUUUUCCUUCGCCGAAAGGUGUGGGUAAUCUUUUGAAACAUCGUCGUGCUGGGGAUAGAUCAUUGCAAUUUUUGAUCUUAAACGAGGAAUUCCUAGUAAGCGCGAGUCAUCAGCUCGCGUUGAUUACGUCCCUGCCCUUUGUACACACCGCCCGUCGCUACUACCGAUUGAAUGGUUUAGUGAGGACUCCUGAUUGGCGCCGCCGCCCCGGCAACGGAGCAGCGGACUGCCGAAAAGUUGUUCAAACUUGAUCAUUUAGAGGAAGUAAAAGUCGUAACA
rnacentral:rRNA from 1 species